rnacentral:rRNA from 1 species
AACGAACGCUGGCGGCAGGCCUAACACAUGCAAGUCGAACGCUCCGCAAGGGGAGUGGCGCACGGGUGAGUAACGCGUGGGAAUCUACCAUAUAGUAAGGGAUAACAGUUGGAAACGACUGCUAAUACCAUAUACGCCCUCCGGGGGAAAGAUUUAUCGCUAUAUGAUGAGCCCGCGUAAGAUUAGCUAGUUGGUGAGGUAAUGGCUCACCAAGGCUACGAUCUUUAGCUGGUCUGAGAGGAUGAUCAGCCACACUGGAACUGAGACACGGUCCAGACUCCUACGGGAGGCAGCAGUGGGGAAUAUUGGACAAUGGGCGCAAGCCUGAUCCAGCCAUGCCGCGUGAAUGAUGAAGGCCUUAGGGUUGUAAAGUUCUUCCGCUAUCGAGGAUAAUGACUGUAGAUAGAUAAGAAGCCCCGGCUAACUUCGUGCCAGCAGCCGCGGUAA